AUUGCUUCCUGGCCUUUUGGCUAAGAUCAAGUGUAGUAUCUGUUCUUAUCAGUUUAAUAUCUAUCCAAGGAUAAUAUAUUAAGUGGAUUUUUGGAGCAGGGAGAUGGAAUAGGAGCUUGCUUCAUCCACUCCACACAUUGACCUGGCAUUGCAGUACCUCCAGGAACAGUGCAUUAAAA
ensembl:snRNA U2 U2 spliceosomal RNA